ACACGACUACAUUAGAUACCCGUGUAGUCCCAGCCCUAAACGAUGCGCGUUAGGUGUAUCGGUGACCACGAGUCACCGAGGUGCCGAAGGGAAACCGUGAAACGUGCCGCCUGGGAAGUACCGGUCGAAAGGCUGAAACCUUAAAGGAAUUGGCGGGGGAGCACCACAACGGGUGGAGCCUGCGGUUUAAUUGGACUCAACGCCGGGAAGCUCACCGGAUAAGACAGCGGAAUGAUUGCCGGGCUGAAGACCCUGCAUGACCAGCCG
rnacentral:rRNA from 1 species